AUGCAUAAAUCAAUUAUUAGGAAAGAUGCUUACCUGAAGCGAACCUUAUUGUCGUCUGGGUUCGGGUGUCCUCUCUGCCCCAAUUUCAAGACAGAAAGUGAUGAAGUGAUCCAGAGGCACUUGAGCAACCACAGUGCAAAUGCUGUUAUUUUCCAGGACAAAUUCUGCAUCUGCAGGUGCAACUUAUCCUGCAGGGCUGGAGGCCACUUCCAUUGUCCUUUUUGUGACGGCACUAUUAUGCGUAAAGACGAUAUGGUGUCACAUCUGUAUGUGUGUCCAAAUGAAUGUAAAAUGAUUCAGCCUUCUCUGGUGGACUCUUGUAAGUCACCUUCACCAGAGACCUCGCCCCAUGAAGUGAACCAGAGGCAUUUGAGAAACCACAAUGCAAAUGAGGUUCUUUUCAAGGGUUUUUAUAUGUUGUUUGGAUCAAGUAAUGUGAUCCAACCCACACUGGAGAAAUGUUGUGAGCCAUCUUCAACAGAAACCCAGUCUUUAAAAGAGGAUCUAUCACCAGUGCAUAAAUCAAUUAUUAGGAAAGAUGCAUACCUGAAGCGAACCCUGUUAUCAUCUGGGUUUGGGUGUCCUCUCUGCCCCAAUUUCCAGACAGAAAGUGAUGAAGUGAUCCAGAGGCAUUUGAGGAACCACAAUACAAAUGCUAUUAUUUUCCAGGACAAAUUCUGCAUCUGCCGGUGCAAAUUGUUCUGUCAUUUUGAAGGCCACUUCCAUUGUCCUUUUUGUGGUGGGACAGUAACUAAAAAGAAAGAUAUGACAUUCCAUCUUACCACUUGUCCAAACAAAAGUAACGUGAUCCAACCCACACUGGAGAAUUCUUCUGCAGACCACUCCUACCGGCAAGCAGCAUCACCAAAGACCCUGACACCUGCCACGGAUUUUGAUCAGACAACUGCUACCACCUCAGAAAAACCCACAAUUCAAGAGAGAGAAGUAAUUCUGCCACUGACCAAGGCUGAAAGUGAUGAAGUGAUCCAGAAACUCUUGAGAAACCACAAUGCAAAUGCAGUUCAUUUCCAGGACUUGUCUAGUAGAGUUGGAGGCCACUUCCAUCCUUCUUUUUGUGACAGUACAAUAACUACCAAGGACUUGAUGUUCCAUCUUACCACGUGUCCAGAUAAAAGUAAUGUGAUCCAACCCACACUGGUGGAAUCUUACAAAUUCUGCGUCUGCAGGUGCAACUCAUCUGCAGACCACUUCCAUUGUCCUUUUUGUGACGACACAAUCAUUCGUAAGGAAGAUAUGAUAUUACAUCUGAAUGUGUGUCCAAAUAAAAAUAAGUCAACCCAAUCCACAUUGGUGGAAUCUGCAGACCACUCUUAUGCAAAAGCAGCUUUACCCAAGACCCCCACACCUGUCACAGAUUUUGAUCAGACAACUCCUGCUACUACCUCAGACCAACUCAUGAUUCAGGAGGAGGAAGUGACUGUGCCACUGACCAACGUGCAUGAAUCAGUUAUUAGGAAUGAUACGGACCUGAAGCAAAGCCUGCUAACAUCUGGGUUUGAGUGUCCUCUCUGCCCCGAUUUCAAGACUCAAAGUGAUCGAGUGAUCCAGACGCAUUUGAGCAACCACAUUGCAAAUGGAGUGCAUUUCCAGGAAAACGUAGUCUGCAGGUGCAAUUUGCCUUGUAGAGCUGGAGGCCACUUUCAUUGUCUUUUUUGUGACAAGACACUAAUUAACAAGGACAGUAUGGCAUUACAUCUGAUCAGAUGUCAAAACAAAAGUACAGUGGUCCAAUUCCCACUGGUGGAAGCUUCACCAGAGCCUUUCACGCAGCCUUUAAUAGAUCCUCUGGAACCAUCAGGGAGUGAAGACCACUCGGUGUCCUCACAAACUGCAGAUCAUGCCUACACACAAACUCCCACACUCAUCACAGCUUUAAAUCAGACAACUCCUGCUACCACCUCAGACGCACUCAUGAUUCAAGAGGAGGAAAUAACUCUACCAUUGUCCAAGGCUGAAAGUGAUGAAGUGAUCCAGAAGGUCUUGAGAAACCACAAUGCAAAUGCAGUUCCAUUCCAGGACUUGUCUAGUAGAGUUGGAGGCCACUUCCAUCGUCCUUUUUGUGACAGUACAAUACCUACCAAGGACGUGAUGUUCCAUCUUACCACGUGUCCAGAUAAGAGUAAUGUGAUCCAACCCACACUGGUGGAAUCUUCUGGAGACCAUUCCUACACAAAAACAGCUUCAUGCAAGACCCCCACACCUGCCACAGAUUUUGAUCAGACAACUCCUGCUACUACCUCAGACCAACUCAUGAUUCAGGAGGAGGAAGUGACUGUGCCACUGACCAACGUGCAUGAAUCAGUUAUUAGGAAUGAUACGGACCUGAAGCAAAGCCUGCUAACAUCUGGGUUUGAGUGUCCUCUCUGCCCCAAUUUCAAGACUCAAAGUGAUCGAGUGAUCCAGACGCAUUUGAGCAACCACAUUGCAAAUGGAGUGCAUUUCCAGGAAAACGUAAUCUGCAGGUGCAAUUUGCCUUGUAGAGCUGGAGGCCACUUUCAUUGUCUUUUUUGUGACAAGACACUAACUAACAAGGACAGUAUGGCAUUACAUCUGAUCAGAUGUCAAAACAAAAGUACAGUGGUCCAACCCGCACUGGUGGAACCUCCACCAGAGACGCAGCCUUUAAUAGACCCUCUGGAACCAUCAGGGAGUGAAGACCACUCGGUGUCCUCACAAACUGCAGAUCAUGCUUUCACACAAACUCCCACACUCAUCACAGCUUUUGAUCAGACAACUCCUGCUACUACCUCAGACCAACUCAUGAUUCAGGAGGAGGAAGUGACUGUGCCACUGACCAACGUAAAGUGUCCUCACUGCUAUAUUAUUCUAUACAAGCAGAAUUUGGGAGAAUAUAUCAAUAUGAGACAUAGCCAACUUAGAAAUGACAACAUUAUAGAGGGAUUGAAUAAAAAUGUUUUAGUCUGUUUUAUAAGCAUGUGGAUACAAGUUGAGAGCUGUAGUUCAUCUUACUAUAUUUGACUUUUAGGUAGAUAAAGGAUUAUCAAUGUUCAGCCUGUCAGUUUUUAUAACAAACCAAUGUUUACUAAGUGAUCUGUUUUUUUCUGGUUCAGGUGCAUAAAUCAAUUACUUGGAAAGAUACAUACCUGGAGCGAACCCUGUUACCAUCUGGGUUUGGGUGUCCUCUCUGCCCGUAUUUCAACACUGUAAAUGAUGACGUAAUCGAGAGGCAUCUGAGAAACCACAAUGAAAAUGGAGUGCAUUUCCAGG
rnacentral:lncRNA from 1 species